UUAGAGGAAGUAAAAGUCGUAACAAGGUUUCCGUAGGUGAACCUGCGGAAGGAUCAUUAACGAGUUAAUUGAACAGGUUGUAGCUGGCCCCCAGGGGGCAUGUGCACGCCUGGCUCAUCCACUCCUUCAACCUCUGUGCACUUGUUGUAGGUCGGCGGAAGGGAGAGUCUGGUUUCAUUACUGUGACUUGCUUGGAAGCCUUCCUAUGUCUUUACAAACGCUUCAGUUUAAGAAUGUAAAUCUGCGUAUAACGCAUCUAUAUACAACUUUCAGCAACGGAUCUCUUGGCUCUCGCAUCGAUGAAGAACGCAGCGAAAUGCGAUAAGUAAUGUGAAUUGCAGAAUUCAGUGAAUCAUCGAAUCUUUGAACGCACCUUGCGCUCCCUGGUAUUCCGGGGAGCAUGCCUGUUUGAGUGUCAUGGUACUCUCAAUCUUCAUAACUUUGUUGUUAUCGAAGGUUUGGAUUUGGAGGUUGUGCCGGCUUCUUGUCAAGUCGGCUCCUCUUAAAUGGAUUAGCGUGAGUGUAACGGAUCGCUUCGGUGUGAUAAUUAUCUGCGCCGUGGUUGUGAAGUAACAUCAGCUUGCGCUUCUAACCGUCCUUCAGCUGGACAAAUUUACUCUGACAUCUGGCCUCAAAUCAGGUAGGACUACCCGCUGAACUUAAGCAUAUCAAUAAGCGGAGGAAAAGAAACUAACAAGGAUUCCCCUAGUAACUGCGAGUGAAGCGGGAAAAGCUCAAAUUUAAAAUCUGGCAGUCUUUGGCUGUCCGAGUUGUAAUCUGGAGAAGCGUCUUCCGCGCUGGACCGUGUA
rnacentral:rRNA from 1 species